rnacentral:lncRNA from 1 species
CAUGAACCACCUGGGUUUUGAGCAGUUUGGGGUAGUUCCAAGGUGGAGUGGGCCCGGACCACAAAAUAAAAGGUCUUUGACUGACUUUGCCAAGAGUAAGGAGGUAAAUGCCAUGGCAUGGAGCAGCAUCACCAUAUCGAUACCCACCGACCUACCAUGCAUCAUGAAUUGGUAUCGCCAUCUUUGGUGCCAUAUGUUUGAUAUUAAUAGAGAAAACUAUUAGAUAUAUGAUCUGAAAAGCCAAUUGUUGAUUGACACAUUGUAUUAAUCAAUGGCAUAUUUUUGUACUUGAUUUAUUAAAAUUAAUAAAAUGAAUAUUUUUUUUAUCCAUUCAUAUGUAAUGUGUCUGUGAAUCGUCCAAUGAGUUAAUGGACAAUGACACAUUCCCAAGAGUUGAGAAUUUGAGACGUGUCAAUAUAGAUUAACUCCUGAAAUGCUCUCGAUUAUUGGAUUAUCACGGAGAUGGUGAUUGAUCCAUCAAGAUCGGUGCAUAGAUCGCUUUCCUUUCGGAUAAAUGAGUCUCGAAUCUACAGUAUAGGGACACUGGAGCGAGAGUGCAAUUGUCAGAGAACAACGAUACUGAACGUGAUCAAGAACAAGUCACAUGGAUGUCUACUCACUCGUCAGUGACUAUCUCGAUGCUGUAGUUGUGUGAGAAGUUUUUUGACCUGCGAUGCCUCGACCGCUCACAGUGGAAUUGCUGUAGUUUGACAACACAUAAACAUGGUCCCUAGCUAUUUGAGAUCUUGCGGUAUUCAUUAGUUGCAGUAGGUUCGCUGUAGAAGUCAGAUGUGCACUUAUAAGGAAUCAUCAGCCUUAGUAGUUGAGGAGUAGUCAUAUGCGACUUAAGAAGCUGAGUUCUUAAGUCUGUGGCCACAGCAACGUAAUAAUGAAAAAUAAUUUUCAUGAAAUUCACGAUUAGGCUCAAGUCGAUUAAGUCUGACAUAUGACGGAUGCUUAGGAUUUGACGAGGUUCCAUGACCUGCAUCCUGUCGGGACUUUCGAUAAAAGAACUUGAUCACACGGUAACUACAUCUAGGGGUUCAGAUUUUUCUGUUCUAUUGGAUUGCCAUUACAUGCUGCUAGACAUUACUAGUGGAUUAUGAGAACUCACUAGGAUUGUUUUCGGAUCAAUGAUCCUUGUUGGGUUGAGUUGGAAUCGUUUCAGCCCAUCGAAAAGAGUUUCAAUGAUGCUAUGAUAGAGAUUAUGAUGUCUCACUAUCAGAUAGAAUAGAACCUGAGGGAUCACACACAAAAGGAGCUUGAUCUGAGUAACGAUUUGGAUAAUGAUCAAAUGAUCAAUUCAAUUGAUGAUUUGGAUCAAUUUAUAAAAGUUACUAAUUUAGAAACUCCUAAUUGUUAGCAUAAGAGACUUAAUUGCAAGUGUUGCAAUGCAAUUGAGCCUGAUUAAAUUAUGGAUCAAAUCCUAAUUAAUUUAAAUCAUAUUUAAUUUAAUUGGGCUUAACUUAAUUUAAGACUAAUUGGGUUUAAGUAUCCAAGUUAGACUUGGAUUCCAAUCCUAAUUGGAUUAGAGUUGACAGCUUUUUCGAGUUUGAUUCGAAUCGGGCUCGAAUUGAUUCGAAUCAAAUCCAAUUUGAAACUCAAUUGAAAUGGACUGCCUAAACCCUCUUUCCUUGGGAUUCUCUCUCUUAUUGGCCAACUAAGAAGUGGGAGGAGCAGUGGAUUUGUCGCCCUUUUCCUCUUCGUACGUGUGAAGAUGAGAGGAGGCACAACCCUUCUGGCAUGGGACUCUUUUCUGAUAAAUUUUGAUCCUAAUUCAAAUAUUAAUUUGAAAUUUAAUCAAAUAGGAUCAGUCCUUAUCAGGUUUGGGAGUUGGGGACUUUGUUGUGUGCAACAAAAUAAAAGAUUAAGGGCGUGUGUGAAGGUUGUUCUGUGUGCUAACUUCUUCCUUGCCGCAACAUCUCAUCUCAAUGCCCCUUCUCCCCUUUCCUCUCCCCACCUUCUCCACAGAUCAAUAUGAGAGAGAGAGAUUAGAGAGAGAGGAAGAGAAAGAAAAGGUUUUUCUUCUCUUCUAGGCAUCUUUAGAGAGUUCCUUUCAGAUCUGUGUGAAGGGUUCGUGUUACAGAUUUUUCUUCGAGUUCUAGAAGAAGAUCCACAUCCAAGCCGAGGAAUGAGGCCUGCAAAAAAGCUAGCCUCCGAGGGUCUUGGAGUUUCGAUUAGCGAUCUGCUCUAUGUGGAUACCAGCAGAGGCCGGGCACGUGCGCGACUCCGACAAAAAUCCCAGACAUCUUUCGGAUUCGAUCCGAGUAAGAAAGAUAGCGAUUCAGGUAAUCAAUCUUCCUUCUCUGUUUUUGAUUUCAGAUCUGUUAUCAUAAAUCUAUUUCAGCAUGUUAAAGAUCCGUAGGUGAUUUAUAGAUUUGAUCUACAUGCUUCAUAUGAAAAUAGUUUUCAUAUAUGCUUCCGCUAGGUUAAAGUAACCUGAUCUGAUUUUGCAUGCCUUAAUCACCUAGAACUCCAACAAUGGUAUCACAGCCACAAUUUUUAACAUGUAUGAAAUAGAUUUAAAUCUGAUUUCUCUUUAGAUCUAAAAAUUAGUUUCAGAUUUAGAUUAUUUAUUUUGAUUUAAAUCAGAUUUGAAAUCUGAUUUCAUGUAUAUGAUACAUAAAUCUAAAUUUUACAUGCAUAUGUGAUAUGUUAGUGUAGAUUAAUAACCUAGUAGACUACCAUUGUUGAGUUAAGUUCUUAGUUAGACCCACCAUUCAUGCAGGCACCCCUUCCACCAUAUCACAUAAAUCUAAAUUUUACACGCAUAUGUGAUAUGUGCCUGCAUGAAUUAAGAAGAAGAACCGCGAAAAGUUGAUCGAUUUUGAAAACUGUUUUCCAAACAAGUUAACCAAAAAUAUUAGAUUUGAAAUUAAGAUGUUAAACAAUUUUUGAAAAGUGUUUUCAAAUAGUUUUAAUCAUCUUUUUAGAUCUGAUUUUGCAUAUAUGAGAUAUGUGCCAUGUUAGUCUUAGAUCUAAAAAAUUAUAUAUGUGAUAUACAUUUCAUAGAUCUUAGAUCUAAAACACCAUAUAUGAGAUAUAUGAUUUUAGGUUUAGAUCUGAAAAUGUUUCGAGAUCAUAAAUCAUUAAUUCAUGCACUUUAACAUAAUCUAAAAUUGUUUUUAGAAUCUAAAUUUUAAGUUAUGCACAGGGAUAUGGGUUGAACAAUUAAAUCUAAUGAUUGGACUAUAAUUAGGUUCCUUGAUUAGGUUAGGUUAGAACCCAUGUCAAUUUUGAGCAGUUGAUUGAACCUAAUCAAUAGCUUAUUACGAUUAGGUCAAAGGAGCUCAAUAUCGAAUUUAGUUGUAGUUGGUCAUAUCGAUUCACAUUUGAUAUGGAUUGAGUAACUCAAGACCGAAUUUGGCUCAGUGGAUCGAGCCCAAAUCGCUAAGCUAACCUAUUCAAUUCUAAUUGAUCAAUUGGUGUCUAAAGCAAGUCUCAACUGGUGGUUUUUAAUUGGGACCAUGCUUAUCUAGCCAAUCCAGUUGGUGUCUAAGACAAGCAUCGGCGAUCCUCCCAUCGAUCUCACUUAUCUGACCAACUUGAUCGAUUAAAUUUUAAGGUUGUUUAGUUAUUCAUGUUCAUCCAUGCCGACUAGGUUAGUCAAACAUAAGAUUGUACUGACCUGAAUCUAAUCAAUCAGACAUAAGAUUGUACUAAUCUAAUUUAGAUAAGAUCUAAAUCUAAACCUCUUCACAAAUAUUAAGUCUUAAAUCUUCCACCAUUGUAAGAGUACGGGCGUCCUACUGAUGUUGACUGUUCUCGACUGGUUACAGUGGUUCAGUUGCACCGAAAAUAUGCAACCACCCUAUUAACAUGAGAUAUUGCAAGGUAAUGAUGGGGUUGGACUCAAUAAUCGGACACGGUGAGGGACCUAAUGACGGCUUUACCUAUGCGUUGAAUGGUGGGUCUAACUUAACUAAGAACUUGACCAAUAAACGAACACGUUGAGGCUUCAUAACUUAGAGAUCAAUCGCUGCAUUAUGCUUGAGAAGCAUUGAACAAUAGUUGUCCACUCAUCGGUAUAGUGUGGCCUAAUAAUCGGACACGGUGAGAUGCGUGCAUAUCAAUGGGACUGCAGUGCCCACUAAGAAUCCUAAUCGUGUAGGGCUUUUCGCAUCUCCACGGAAGAGUGAGAGAUCCGUAAGAAUAGUGAGAGUCUAAUUUGUUUCUUAAAGUCUCUAGAACAAAUUUUAAAAUCUGAGUACAAUUGUCUAACUUGAAUCUUCUAUUUUCGUAGUUAACCAUGUCAGUCUCCAACCAUUUAGCCCGCAUUAUAGAGUCCAACCGACUAAUUGGCCUUAACUACAAGGACUGAUUUAGAAAUCUUAAGAUUGUCUUAAGUUCAGAGAAGUUGGGCUGUGUGCUCAACCAGGACCCCCCAUCUUACAUGACCAUCCAAGUGCUCGUCAAACAGCAGCACAAAAAAAAUGGAUGGAGGAUGACAACAAAGUGAAGUGUUACAUACUGACUUCAAUAUCAAAUGAGUUGCAGAGCCAACAUGAGGAUAUACCUACUGCCAAGGCCAUGAUUGCACACCUGUAAGAGUUGUAUAGUGAGCAAAGCCGCACGACGUACUUCGAAGUCUCUAAAAGACUUUUUAAUACGAAAAUGCGCAAAGGACAGUCAGUCCAUGAUCAUUGUUUGGCAGUGAUUAAGGACAUAGAACAGCUUGAGAAGCUGGGCAUUCCUAUUCAUAGGAAACUGCAAGUGGAUUUGAUCUUUCAAUCCCUUACUAGUUCAUUUGCUUCAUUUGUUAUGAACUAUAAUAUGAACAAAUUAAACUACACUUUAUUUGAGUUGAUGAAUAUGUUGGUAAGUAAUGAGGGGACCUUGAAGAGUUCAAGGGCUAACAUUGUUCUCGCUGUGAAGCAAGAAUCUUCCUCCAAGAGAAAGUCUAGUUGGAAGAAAAAAAGCAGAAAAAGAAAAAGGAGAGCAAGCCGAAGGACACUCCAAAGAAGGCUGCUGGUGGCAAAAAAAAGUGUUUCCAUUGCAAUAAUGAUGGCCAUUAGAAGAGGAACUGUUCGUUGUACCCGAAGAGCCUGAAAAAACAAAAGACAGAUGCACCUUUGAAAGGUAAGUCCAAUAUGCUCAUUAUUGAAUCUAUUGAAUCUAACCUUAUGGUUUUCUCUAUUUCUAGUUGGAUAUUGAACUCUGACUCGAGUGCUCACAUAUGUACUUCUAUGCAGGGUCUGAUAAAAAAUAGAGGACUGAAGGAAGAAGAAAUGAUCCUGCGCGUCGGCAAUGGAGCAAAGGUUGCUGCAAUCGCCGUUGGAAUAUAUCCUCUACGAUAACCGUUAGAAUCUAAAUUGAAUCUUAAAAAUUGUUAUUAUGUAUCUGUAGCUAGCAAAAAUUUGAUUUCUAUGUCUGUGCUAGCACAAGAUGGAUAUGAAUUUAAUUUCGAUAAAGACUUUUAUACUAUUUACUUGAGAAAUAAAUUGAUUGCAAGAGCUCUGUUAAUUGAUAGUCUUUAUCAUUUGCAUGUCGAUGCAUCUGUGAACAUUAACGAGCAAUUAGUGAAAGCCGUAGGACACAAGACCUAGAGAUGACCUGAACCACAAGUAUUUAUGGCAUCUCAGACUUGAUCAUAUUGGAGAAGACAAGAUCAACAAACUGAAAAAGAAUGAGAUCCUUAACUCACUGAGUUCUGAGUUUUAUUCAGUUUGUGAAUCCUACCUUCAAGAAAAAAUAACUAAAUUAUCCUUUGUAGGAUAUGGGGAAAGGGCCACUGAAUUACUUGCCCUGGUACACACUAAUAUGCAUGGGCCAUUUGAUGUGCAGGUCAGAUAUAGUUAUCAGUACUUCAUCCAUGAUUAUUUACAGUAUGAGAUGUGUUUCUUAUGAGACACUGAAGUUUUUGAAAAGUUCAAAGAAUUUAGACAUGAAGUAGAAAAACAAACAGAAAAACUCCUUAAAAUUCUUCAAUCAGAUCGAUGAGAAGAAUAUCUUAGUGAAAAAUUUCUGAAAUAUCUCAAGGACAACAACAUAGUCUUACAGUGGACUCCUAGUACGUCUUAACUCAAUAGGAUAUCAGAAAGGAGAAAUAAAAUCCUAUUGAAUAUGGCCCGAUCUAUGAUGAGCUUCACUGACCUACCUAUGUUUCUUUGGGCACAUACCCUACAAACCUCCAUUUAUAUUUUAAAUAGGGUUCCUUCUAAAUUCAUUCCUACCACACUAUAUGAAAUAUGGCAUAGUAAGAAACUGAAUCUUGACCAUCUCAAGAUUUGGAGAUAUCCAGCUAUGUUAAAAAACUAAUGGCGGACAAGUUAGAACCCAGAUCUAUGAAAGCUUGUUUUAUAAGGUAUUCUAAAAAAUCAAUAGGAUACUACUUUUACUUUUCAGAGAAUUACAAUGUGAUUGUGAUCCGACAUGCCACGUUCUUGAAAAAAUAAUUUAUCCAGGACGAAUGUAGUGGGAGGCUAAUUAAGCUCGUAAAGAAAGUCUCUAAAGAGCGGCGAGCUGUAGAUCAGACUGAACCCAUUGAACCAGUAGAUGUCGUGGUUCCACCACCUCGUAAAUUUAGUAGGAUCUCCCAUCCUCCUGAAAGGUACUUAGAUAUGCUUACAGAUGAUGUAGAGGAAGUAUUCCUCGUGAGAGAUAAGGAUCAAGUAGUUGAUCCUAAAAUCUAUGACGAGACGAUGUCAGAAAUCGACUUCGAGAAAUAGUUGAAUGUUAUGAAGUCAGAAAUUGACUCAAUGCAUUCAAACCAAGUCUUGACCUUAGUGGAUCCAUCAGAGAGUAUUGUAUCCAUUGGGUGUACAUGGAUCUACAAAAAAAAGAUAGAUGCAGAUGGUAAGAUAGAGACCUAUAAAGCUAGGCUAGUGGUGAAGGAUUAUAAUCAACGCAAAGGUAUUGACUAUCAUGAUAUCUUUUCGUCCGUAGCCAUACUGAAAUUCAUCCACACAUUGCUUGCCAUUGCAGCUUUAUCAUGAUUAUGAAAUUUGACAGAUGAAUGUGAAAAUGACGUCCCUAAAUGGAUAUCUUGAAGAAGAUAUCUAUAUGGAACAGCCUUUAGAUUUCACUUCUAGUGAUGGAGAUCACAAAAUCUGCAAGCUGCAUAGAUCCAUUUAUGGAUUGAAGCUUUUCGAAAUUGAAACACUCAUUUCAACGAUGCCAUCAAAUCAUUUGAUUUCAUAAAGAAUGAGGAGCCUUGCGUUUACAAGAUCAGUGGGAGGACUGUCACAUUCCUCAUAUUAUACGUAGAUGAUAUUCUUCUUAUUGAGAAUGAUAUUCAUAUGCUGACCUCAGUCAAGAGUUGGCUGUCCAAGAAUUUUUCAUGAAAGAUCUAAAAGAAGCAUCUUAUAUUCUAGAAAUUAAGGUCUAUAGAGAUAGACCGAAUAGGAUGCUUGGCCUUUCACAGAAGAUGUACAUAGAAGAAGUGCUGAAGACGUUCAGCAUGAAGAACUCUAAGAGGAGACUACUACCCCUUAGACAUGGCAUUAGUCUCUAUAAAAAGAUGUGUCCUAGCACAUGAGGAGAUUCAGAGGAUGAGCAAGAUCCCUUAUGCUUCAGUAAUAUGAAAACUCAUAUAUACCAUGUUGUGUACACGAUCUGAUAUAGCCCUAGCUGUAAGUGUCACGAGCAGGUAUCAGUCGAAUCUAGACGAAGAGCACUGGACUCUGUGAAGAACAUCCUUAAGUACUUGAGAAGGAUUAAGCAUUUAUUCUUGAUCUUUGGAGGAAGUCCUGAGUUGCGGGUUGAGGAAUAUACUGGUUCAGACUUUAUGUAUGAUCCCGAUGAUAUGUCUACGUCAGGAUGUGUAGUUCUUCGCAAUGAUGGUUCUACAAAUUGAAAGAAUUUCAAGCAACCAAUCAUUGCUGAUUCUAUCGUGAAAGUUGAGUAUAUCGCCAUCUCAGAAGCUGCAAAGGAAGCCUUCUGGUAUAAGAAGUUCGUUGCAGAGCUCGAAGUGAUGCCAUAAGAUGCCAUUGCCUUGUACUGCGAUAAAAACGACACCAUAGCCCUUGCUAAGGAACCCAGACCUCAUCAGAAGUUCAAACAUAUCGAGCGACGGUUUCACAUUAUACGCGACUACCUCGAGAAAAAGUACAUCGAGAUGCGAAAAAUAGACUCUACGGACAACGUAGCAAACCCACUGACGAAACAUUUGAGCCAGCAGAAAUCUGAAGUCCACCUUGAGAAGAUGGAUCUUAGGUACAUGGCCAAUUGGCUUUAGAUCAAGUAGGAGAUUGUUAGAUGUAUGAUCUGAAAAGCCAAUUGUUGGCUGACACAUUGUAUAAAUUCAAAACAUAUUUUUGUACUUGAUUUAUUGAAAUUAAUAAAACAGGUAUUUUUUUUAUCCAUUCAUGUGUAAUGUGUCUAUGAAUCAUCUAAGGAGUUAAUGGACAAUGACACAUAUUUUCAAGAGUUGAGAAUUUGAGACAUGUCAAUAUAAAUUAACUCCUGAAAUGCUCCUAAUCGUUGAAUCACGGAGACAAUGAUUGAUCCGUUGAGAUCGAUGCACAGAUCACUUCUCUUUCGGAUAGACGAAUCUCAAGUUUACAGUAUAGAGAUACUGGAACGAGAGUACAAAUGGUUGUUAAAGAACAACGAUACUGAGCGUGAUCAAAAACAAGAAGUUACAUGGAUGUCUACUCACUCGUCAGUGACUAUCUCGAUGCUAUAGUUGUAUGAGUAAUUCUUUAACCUGCGGUGCCUCGACUGCUCACAGUGGGAUUGUUGUAGUUUGACAACACAAACAUGAUCCCUAGCCAUUUGGAGCCUUGCGGUGUUCGUUGACUGUAGUAGAUUCGUUGUAGGAGUAGAAUGUGCACUUAUAAGAGAUCCAUCGGGCUGAGUAAUUGAGUAGUCCUAUGCGAUCUAAGUGGCUGGGUUCUUAAGUCUGUGGCCACAGCAACGUGAUAAUAGAAAGGAGUUUUUAUGAGAUUUAUGAUUGGACUCAAGCUGAUUAAGUCUGAUAUAUGAUGGAUGCUUAGGGUUUGAUGAGAUUCCAUGACCUGCAUCCUAUCAGAACUUUCGAUAGAAAAACUUGAUCAUAUGGUAACUACAUCUAGGGAUUCAGAUUUUUUUUAUUCUGCUGGAUUGCCACUACAUGCUGCUAGACGUCACUGGUGAAUUGUGAGAACUCACUAGAAUUGUUUUCGAAUCAACGAUCCUUAUUGGGUUGAGUUGAAAUCGUUACAACCCAUCGAAAAGAAUUUCGAUGAUAUUGUGAUAGAGAUCAUGGUCUGUCUCACUACUAGAUAGAAUAGAACCUGAAGGAUCACACACAAAAGGAGCUUGAUCUAAUCAACGACUUAAAUAAUGAUCAAAUUAUCAAUUAGAUUGAUUUGGAUCUAUUUGUAAAAGUUGCAAAUUUAGAAAUCGCUAAUUGUUAGCAUAAAGGACUUAAUUGUAAAUGUUGCAAUGCAAUUAGGCCUGAUUAAAUUAUGGAUCAAAUUCUAAUUAAUUUAAAUCAGAUUUAAUUUAAUUAAAUUUAACUUAAUUUAAGGUUAAUUGGAUUUAAGUAUCCAAAUUAGACUUGGAUUCCAAUCCUAAUUGGAUUAGGAUUUACAGCCUUUUCGAAUUCGAUUCGAAUCGAGUUCAAAUUUGAUUCGAAUCAAAUCCAAUUUGACACCCAAUUGAAAUAGACUGCCUAAGCCCUCUUUCCUUAGAAUUCUCUCUUAUUGGCCAACUAAGAAGUGGGAGGAGCAGUGGAUUUGUCACCCUUUUCCUCUUCGUACACAUGAAGAUGAGGGUAGGCACAAGUUGGCGCCUCUCCUUCUGACUUGAGACUCUUUUCUAAUAAGUUUUGAUCCUAAUUCAAAUUUUAAUUUGAAAUUUAAUCAGAUAAGAUCAAUCCUUAUCAGGUUUGGGUGUUGGGGACUUUGUUGUGUGCGACAAAAUAAAAGAUUAAACAGGACAUGUGUGAAGGUUGUUCUGUGCGCUAACUUCUUCCUUGCCGCAACAUCUCAUCUCAACGCCUCUUCUCCCCUUUCCUUUUCAUGCCCCACCUUCUCCACAGAUCAGAUCUGAGAGAGCGAGAGAUUAGAGAGAGAGGAAGAGAAGGAAAAGGAUGUUUCUCCUCUUCUAGGUGUCUUUAGAGAGUUCCUUUCAUAUCUGCGCGAAGGAUCCGUGUUGCAGAUUUUUCUUCUCCGAGUUAUAAAAGAAGAUCCACAUCCAAGCCGAGGAACGAGGCCUGCAAGAAAGCUAGCACUCCGAGGGCCUUGGAGUUUCAAUCAGUGAUCUGCUCCGUGUGGAUACCAGCAAAGGCCGAGCACGUGCGCGGCUCCAACAAAAACCCCGGGCAUCUGCCGGAUCCGAUCUGAGUAAGAAGAAAGAUAGCAAUUCAAGUAAUUGAUCUUCCUUCUCUAUUUUUGAUUUCAGAUCUGUUAUCAUAAACCCAUAUCAGCAUGUUAAAGAUCUGUAGGUGAUUUAUAG